rnacentral:rRNA from 1 species
GAUGAACGCUGGCGGCGUGCCUAAUACAUGCAAGUCGAGCGAACAGACGAGGAGCUUGCUCCUCUGACGUUAGCGGCGGACGGGUGAGUAACACGUGGGUAACCUACCUAUAAGACUGGGAUAACUUCGGGAAACCGGAGCUAAUACCGGAUAAUAUAUUGAACCGCAUGGUUCAAUAGUGAAAGACGGUUUUGCUGUCACUUAUAGAUGGAUCCGCGCCGCAUUAGCUAGUUGGUAAGGUAACGGCUUACCAAGGCAACGAUGCGUAGCCGACCUGAGAGGGUGAUCGGCCACACUGGAACUGAGACACGGUCCAGACUCCUACGGGAGGCAGCAGUAGGGAAUCUUCCGCAAUGGGCGAAAGCCUGACGGAGCAACGCCGCGUGAGUGAUGAAGGUCUUCGGAUCGUAAAACUCUGUUAUUAGGGAAGAACAAAUGUGUAAGUAACUAUGCACGUCUUGACGGUACCUAAUCAGAAAGCCACGGCUAACUACGUG